rnacentral:lncRNA from 1 species
AUGAUAUCUAGUUUGAAUCCAGAAGCUAAUACCUUCCAUCCAGCAAUGAGUGCUAUAGAUGAGGAAAUAUUAACUGAAAAUGGAGCUGACAUUACUUUUGAACACAAUAAUUAUCCUAUUCAAAGUAUUGGAGGUGACAUUUCAAUUAAAUUUGAAAAGCAGGAAGGAAUGGAAUUCUUACCAACUGGAAAAACUGCCAUGGAUUCAAAAGAUAGGCUUGAAUCCAAAGUUCUAAGGGGAAAAGGGGAAUCUACCCAAAGCAACACCUGUGAUUUAGUUUCAUGUUCCAUUUUAGUUGAGAAUACAACCUCUAAUGUAGACUUAAUUGGGAAUGGAUCUAAUCAAAGAGAAUUAACUGAGUUACACAUGCACCUGGAAGAGAGUAGCAAAGACAUAGACAAUGGUGGAUCUUGAUUUGAUGAACACAAGUCUUCAAUCAAGUGACAGAAGACAGAGGAGUGAAGUGCUGACCAGAGAGGAAGGAAGAGUUUCUACAAUCAAUAUGAAUGGACAUAGAAGGACUUUGGACUUUGAAAUCUUGGAAUUUUUGACCAUGAGGAUAUGUAAGGAUGCAUCAUACAUGUGAACAUCACAUAUUUAUGCCUGCACAUCCUACAUAGCAAAGUAAGAUAUCUCAUGGAUUGGGUAAGUAUACAACAAGCAUAAUCGCAUAACAUAUAAACACAAUGAUGAGAAAUUUCUGUGGAAAAUUCAAACGGACAAAGAUAUUUCUUUUCUGCAUGACUUUGCACCAAAAUUUAGAAUGAUGUACAUAUGUAAAUCUGUACUAAAUAUAUCCUAUGGACACAUGUAAGUACUAAUAACUAACAUGCUAACUAGUUUUUUAGAAGUAGUUUAUUAAUAUUCUUACUACUAACAUUAGUGACAGCCUAGUGAAUUUGUUUAAGGCUUAAGAAAGUAGAGACAUAGAUGUUCUGUAGUAUAGAAGUUAGAUUGCAUCAUGAUUGUAGGUUAGCAUUAGUUAGUGUCAAGAAAUUUUACUUAGUGAAUUUUUAGACUUUAGGACAUAGGACAUUUGCAUAUUCUUAAUGUUAGUGGAAUUGUUGAGAUGAUUUGAAAAUUGUUAAUUGAUUUGUUGUGAUGUAAAAAACUAUGUUCAUGUAAUUCCCUUACCCAAACCAUUUCCCUAUAACCCAUUCUUAGCUUAGCAUCUAGAUACAUAGAAUAGCUGAGAUGAGUUAGGAGUUUGUUAUUUUGGGGGGAGGUAAGGGUAUAUUUAUAACAGAGCAGAAUUAAGAUAGAUAGAUGAAAUUAUUAUUAAGGUAAGUAUCAUUGAAAAAUGCAAGUUGCAUUUUUUUUCUAAUAAAAAGGGGGGUUGUAGUAGAGACUUAAAGAGA